rnacentral:rRNA from 1 species
GCAGUAGCCGCGGGAAUACGGAGGAUCCAAGCGUUAUCCGGAAUUAUUGGGUUUAAAGGGUGCGUAGGCGGCAUGCUAAGUCAGGGGUGAAAGACGGUGGCUCAACCAUCGCAGUGCCUUUGAUACUGGUGUGCUUGAAUGUACAUGAGGUAGGCGGAAUGUGGCAAGUAGCGGUGAAAUGCAUAGAUAUGCCACAGAACACCGAUUGCGAAGGCAGCUUACCAAGGCAAAAUUGACGCUGAGGCACGAAAGCGUGGGGAUCGAACAGGAUUAGAUACCCGAGUAGUCCCUGUCUCUUAUAC